CCUACGGGAGUCAGCAGUGGGGAAUAUUGGGCAAUGGGCGCAAGCCUGACCCAGCAACGCCGCGUGAAGGAAGAAGGCUUUCGGGUUGUAAACUUCUUUUGUCAGGGAAGAGUAGAAGACGGUACCUGACGAAUAAGACACGGCUAACUACGUGCCAGCAGCCGCGGUAAUACGUAGGUGGCAAGCGUUGUCCGGAUUUACGGGGUGUAAAGGGCGUGUAGCCGGGUUGACAAGUCAGAUGUGAAAUCCUGCGGCUUAACCGCAGAACUGCAUUUGAAACUGUUGAUCUUGAGUACUGGAGAGGCAGAUGGAAUUCCUAGUGUAGCGGUGAAAUGCGUAGAUAUUAGGAGGAACACCAGUGGCGAAGGCGGUCUGCUGGACAGCAACUGACGGUGAGGCGCGAAAGCGUGGGGAGCAAACAGGAUUAGAUACCCCUGUAGUC
rnacentral:rRNA from 1 species